ACGAUUACUCUCCUUAUGGUUGGAGCUUAUCACUAGGUUGACAUCUAUUACUUGGUUCGCCACCUCCUACUAAUUUAAGACAGGUUUAACGAGAGUUAAGCUAAAAACGAAUUUUUUCUAGAAAUGUUUUCCUUUGAGCGCCGUUUUUUGCGCCGAGUUCGCCGCCGCCGCCGAUAAAUAUUGUAACGUACGCCGCCGCCUAAUUUUGAAAAAUCGGCUCAGCCGAUUCCAGCCGCCGCCGAUACUU